AUGAGCCUGCCGCCCCCAACGCAGCGAGGCCGCCGCCCACCGCCGGCGCUUGUGGACGACGCCAUGCGCGAGAUCUUCCUGCGCGUCCCUCCGGACGAGCCCGCGAGCCUCGUCCGCGCCGCCGCCGUCUGCAAGGGCUGGCGCGCCAUCCUCCUCUCCGACGCCUCCUUCGUCCGCGACUACCGCGUCUUGCACGGGCCGACGCCGCCCAUGCUGGGCUUCCUCCACAACAGACCCUACGGGACGCGCUCCGGCGUCUCCCGCUUCGUCCCCACUCCCCACCGCCGCGCCCUUCCGCCCGCCGGCAUGCCGCGACCGCCGCCACUGGUACGUCCUCGACUCCCGCCACGGCCGCGUCCUCUUCUACACCCCGAAAUCCGAGGAGGACUUGGUCGUCUGCGACCCCAUCACCGACGACUGCUGGAUGAUUCACGCCGACCCUCGGUACUCGGACGUGACGUGGAAACCGCAGGACGGCGACGAUUCGGACGACGAGAAAACCAGCUGGAAUGCAGCGCUGCUCUGCGCCAAGGACCGCUACGACCACCUCGACUGCCGUGGGGGCCCUUUCCUCGUGGCCUUCGUGGGAUCUGACGAGCAACGGGGGACAUUCGCCUCAGUCUACUCAUCAGAGACUGGUGAGUGGAGCAAGGUGAUCUUUCUGAACCAACCGAAUGCCAUUAUGGAGGCGGGGCACAGUGCUGUUCUUGGAAGUAUGGUGUACUUCCCCUGUAAGUGCAUCACCAGAAUCGUGGAGUACAACAUGGAUGAACAUAAGCUAUCGGUGAUCAUUAAGCCGUUCGACUCGGCAUACGUCCUUGUGGGGGCGGAGGACGGCAUGCUGCGGUUCGCGGGCCUGUGGAACGUACUCUAAUAAGCUCCACCUGUUGUCAAUGGAGCCUGGUCCCAAUGGAGCGGUGGAGAACUGGGUGCCCUGCAGGCUGAUUGAGCUCGAACCGUUGCUCCCCUCUCGUGCCCUGCUGAAAGCCUCGGUGUGGUUGGUUUUGCAGAAGGUGUUGGUGCCAUCUUCCUGAGUACAAAGGCUGGGUUGUUCAAAAUUGAGCUCAAUUCAGGCCGAAGCAGCAAGAUACACAGAAAGAUGCUCUUCGAAAAAGUCAUGCCCUACAUGAGCUUCUACAUUGGAGGUACAAACUAG